CAAUUUCAACUAUCAAAGGAAAGGAAUCAGUCAGAGGAAAGGAAUCUCAGGAAAUCAUACUACAGUAUGGCGGAACAGUGAAGGAAUUUGCUGAGUACUUCAGCUUCCUUUCUUAGGAUGAUCUUUCUCACCUACUACACAGAGAAAAACCAAAACUCACCCAGGUUGAAGACACUGCCAGCUAUGUUACCUCCCCCAGAGACUUCAGCAAUUAGCAGGCGACCCUCAGGGAUGGGACCGUCAGACUCCACCCAGGAGAGCUGGUUGUUUGCACAAAACUGUUGCUCCCUUUGAAAAUUCUCCUGGUGAAGAUUUUGGAUUGUUUUUCAGUUUGAAAUUUUUGCCUGCAAAGAUGCUAUGAUUACAACAAAUUUGCAUGAUUUAUGAAGUUUGUUUAAGCGUUGUA